rnacentral:rRNA from 1 species
AUUGAACGCUGGCGGCAGGCCUAACACAUGCAAGUCGAGCGGAGCGGCAGACGGGUGAGUAAUACCUAGGAAUCUGCCUGGUAGUGGGGGAUAACGUUCGGAAACGGACGCUAAUACCGCAUACUAGCAGAUGAGCCUCGGUCGGAUUAGCUAGUUGGUGAGGUAAUGGCUCACCAAGGCUACGAUCCGUAACUGGUCUGAGAGGAUGAUCAGUCACAUGGGAACUGAGACACGUUCCAGACUCCGACGGGAGGCAGAAGAGGGGAAUAUUGGACAAUGGACGAAACCCUGAGCCAGCCAUGCGUCGUGGGGUAAGAAGGGCUUCGGAUUGUAAAGCACUUUAAGUUGGGAGGCGUUACCGACAGAAUAAGCACCGGCUAACUCCGUGCCAGCAGCCGCGGUAAUUC